rnacentral:rRNA from 2 species
UGAGGAAUAUUGGUCAAUGGACGGAAGUCUGAACCAGCCAAGUAGCGUGCAGGAUGACGGCCCUAUGGGUUGUAAACUGCUUUUGUAUGGGAAUAAAGUGCGGGACGUGUCCCGUUUUGUAUGUACCAUAAGAAUAAGGACCGGCUAAUUCCGUGCCAGCAGCCGCGGUAAUACGGAAGGUCCGGGCGUUAUCCGGAUUUAUUGGGUUUAAAGGGAGCGCAGGCUGGAGAUUAAGCGUGACGUGAAAUGCCGCGGCUCAACCGUGGAAGUGCGUCGCGAACUGGUUUCCUUGAGUGUAUUCGACGUCAGCGGAAUUCGUGGUGUAGCGGUGAAAUGCUUAGAUAUCACGAAGAACUCCGAUUGCGAAGGCAGCUGGCGAGGCUAUAACUGACGCUAAAGCUCGAAGGUGCGGGUAUCGAACAGG